GGUGUUUUCAGAUGUGUUUUGACAAAAUUUGAUGACAAGUUGUAUUGUGUGCAUAAAGGUUCCACAACGAGUGACGGCUGAUUAUUGUAUUUAUUUCAUUCUCGUUAAUUAAGACAUGGGCUUUAGUCUUAGGUGACGUUUUCAAAAUUAACUAACAGUAAUUCUCUAGCCGGGAGCUAAAUUCUUCUCUUGACAGUUUUACCCAACACGCAGAAUGUUUCCAAUUCGGCAGUCUGUAGUAAUGUUCCUGAUGGUUACAAAUGUGGUGCUGCUCUCUAUCGUGUAAACCAGGAGAGACGUGCUGUGACGUCACUGCAACCAACAAAACCGUCAAUGGUUCUUUGUAUUGUUGUUACCAUGACUACGGGGAACGUAUUCGUAGUAUUAUGCUAAAGACUACCAUCUCCAGAGGGUGAGGAAAGCUGCAGCUGUUGUAAACGAAGACAAAACAAAACCCGCUGCUCAUCUGCAAAUGGAUCUUGAUGCACAGUAUGAGAAAGCCACGGACUUGUGUCCCGUUCUCUCGGCUAUCAGUUGCUCAUCGAUACCAGACUCAUACAAUCUCGUCGCAGUAGUAGCCCGGAGGGAGUGGUUGGUGUAGUAG